UACGGAGGGUGCUAACGUUGUUCGGAAUUACUGGGCAUAAAGCGCACGUAGGCGGUCUGCUAAGUCGGUUGUGAAAGCCCCCGGCUCAACCGGGGAAUUGCGUUCGAUACUGGCAGGCUAGAGGACGGUUGGGGUGAGUGGAACUCCAGGUGGAGCGGUGAAAUGCGUAGAUAUCUGGAGGAACACCGGUGGCGAAAGCGGCCUGCUGGGCAGUAGCUGACACUGAGGCGCGACAGCGUGGGGAGCAAACAGG
rnacentral:rRNA from 1 species